GGCCACAGAAUGUGGCAAAUGAGAGCCUUUCCCUUUCGGAGUUCACGGUGGCACGAUGUUCGAUGCUACGGUACGUUCCGUUUGUUAUAAUCUGCCAUAUAAGAGUUCACAUGAGCAUCACAUACACACACAGAUGAAAAGGAACUUAUUCUAGACUUGGUUUGUAACACGUUUCCGAACACUACGUCAUAAUUAUCACCUCCAAAAGGUCUCCGAUGUUUACGAUGAAGGCAUUCGGAAGGGGUUUAACAGUAACCCACUUCCCAUCUUUCCUUAUUUGUAGACCUUCCACUUCAUUGAGCUGAAGCAAAAUAGUUAUGAUGGAAGCAUCGGAAUGAGGGGUGAGGCCGAUGACCUGCUUGGGUAAAUGACAAGGUGGGUAAUAGUUCACCCUAAUUGCUUGCCUUCCCUCUCCAAUAAACUCCUCCAUUUCCUCAGUUUUCAUACUAAGAGCUUCUACCAUCUUUGCAAGGAUAGCCUUGAAGAGAUUGUUCAACUCAGAUGAGUAAGACUCCAAUGUAUCUCUACAUCAAAAGCAUUAAAAAAAAUUAGGGUUAAUGCAAUUU
rnacentral:lncRNA from 1 species